rnacentral:rRNA from 1 species
GUACGGGACCGGGGGCAACUCCGGUUCAGUGGCAGAUGGGUGCGUAACACGUGAGGAACUUGUCCGUCGGCGGGGGAUAGCCGGCCCAACGGCCGGGUAAUACCGCAUACGCUCGCUCGGGGGCAUCCCUGGGCGAGGACAGCAGCCGCAAGGUUGCGCCGGUGGAGAGGCUCGCGGCCUAUCAGCUAGUUGGCGGGGUAACGGCCCACCAAGGCGACGACGGGUAGCUGGUCUGAGAGGAUGGCCAGCCACAUUGGGACUGAGACACGGCCCAGACUCCUACGGGAGGCAGCAGUGGGGAAUAUUGCGCAAUGGCCGCAAGGCUGACGCAGCGACGCCGCGUGUGGGAUGACGGCCUUCGGGUUGUAAACCACUGUCGGGGGGAACGAAUACUCGGCUUCGAAUAGGAGCCCGAGGGUGACGGUACUCUCCAAAGGAAGCACCGUCUAACUCCGUGCCAGCAGCCGCGGUAAU